rnacentral:rRNA from 1 species
AGGGUUUGAUUAUGGCUCAGGAUGAACGCUGGCGGCGUGCCUAACACAUGCAAGUCGAACGGUUAAGGCGGCUUCGGCCGCGGAUAAAGUGGCGAACGGGUGAGUAACGCGUGACCGACCUUCCCCCCGCACCGGGACAACCGCGGGAAACCGCGGCUGAUACCGGGUACUCCGGGGCCCCCGCAUGGGGGCCCCGGGAAAGCUCCGGCGGCGGGGGAUGGGGUCGCGUCCCAUCAGGUAGUAGGCGGGGCAACGGCCCACCUAGCCGACGACGGGUAGCCGGGUUGAGAGACCGACCGGCCACAUUGGGACUGAGAUACGGCCCAG